AACCAUAAUAAAAAAUAUUGAUUAUGGAAAAAAAAAAAGGAGUUGUCAGGGCUGCCAACCUUACAGUAGAGGUUGAGUGGUAGUAUAUUACUCCUAUAUAA
rnacentral:snoRNA from 1 species